CAAAUUUAGCUCGCCUUUUACUUGAAGAUGUAGGUUUUUUCUUUUAACUUCUCAUAUUAUGUUGGUUUUGGUUAAAUGAACGCUGAGAUAAGUCAAAGGAGGCAUAUUAAUAAAAUCCCGAGGUAUACUCACAAACUCUUUCACGAGCUGGACUCGAACCAGCAUAUCUGGGAGCAAAAGACAGAAGGCAGCUCGUCAGGGAGUGCAUAACCAAGCACAACAAAGUUGGUGUCGGUAUAAUAAAUGUGAUCCAAUGACCAUCUCAAAUUUCCUGAAAUUUAGCUGGUAGUGAUGAUUGACCAGCCAGGUGUUGACCUUAUCUGUAGUUCAUGUUUGAUAUAAUCUACAACAACUAUGCCUCUGGCUUAUGCAAGUUGGAGUGGUUAUAUGAAUUCUCACUGUUCAUGUCGCUCAA